UUGGCGAAUUUAACUGGCGCCAACGUAAGAUAAAAUCAUCCGACAACUAGUACACUAAAAUGUCGUAAGCGGCCGCGCUAAUUACAUAAGCGGCCCAAAUGUGAAAGGUCAUGCACUAUUAGUUUGUUUAUCAAACUGUAUAAUCGGGUACCAUAUAAUCAAUUAUGUCAUCAAUUGUGUGACACUUCGGGGACAUGUGAAGAUGAAAGUGUCAAUGUGUUAAUUGGAGCAAUUUACGUCUUUCAUUCUCUGACUUGGAGCACUGAUAAUUACAUGUGUGGUCAACAGUGUUAAUAGCGAUCAGAGAAGUGAAAGAUCGUCCGUGAUGUUGACAAACAUUGAACUUUAGAUCACCAGAUUGUCGGGUAGAAGCUGGGAAAGAUCUUGGCUCAGUCCAGCCUGUGAGAAGAACUGCUAUACUGGCAAUACAGUGGAAAACAGGACCUCCCAUGACAAACUUAACAUGAUGUUCUUGAUUACAUUUAUGCUGUCAUUUGUACAUAAUGUAUUUAUUUAAAUGGAAUUUGAAAACCACAUAAUAGUAUGUCUAUAAUUUAGAUAAUAAACAUGUGCAGUUGUAAUAAAAUGAAAUAUCAUAAA